UCGAAUAUUGGGCGUAAGCGCGCGCAGGUGGUUUCUUAAGUCUNAUGUGAAGCCACGGCUCAACCGUGGAGGGUNAUUGGAACUGGAGACUUGAGUGNAAAAGAGGAAAGUGGAAUUCNAUGUGNAGCGGUGAAAUGCGUAGAGAUAUGGAGGAACACCAGUGGCGAAGGCGACUUUCUGGUCUGUAACUGACACUGAGGCGCGAAAGCGUGGGGAGCAAACAGGAUUAGAUACCCUGGUAGUCCACGCCGUAAACGAUGAGUGCUAAGUGUUAGAGGGUUUCCGCCCUUUAGUGCUGAAGUUAACGCAUUAAGCACUCCGCCUGGGGAGUACGGCCGCAGGCUGAAACUAGGGNAUUUGACGGA
rnacentral:rRNA from 1 species